ACUCCUACGGGAGGCAGCAGUGGGGAAUAUUGGGCAAUGGGCGAAAGCCUGACCCAGCAACGCCGCGUGGAGGAUGACGGCCUUCGGGUUGUAAACUCCUUUUGUCGGGGACGAGACAAGGACGGUACCCGGCGAAGAAGUCACGGCUAACUACGUGCCAGCAGCCGCGGUAACACGUAGGAGGCAAACGUUAUCCGGAUUUACUGGGCGUAAAGCGCGUGUAGGUGGUACUGUAAGUAGGGCGUGAAAGCUCCUGGCUCAACUGGGAGAGGCCGUUCUAAACUACAGAACUAGAGGAUGGUAGAGGGAGGUGGAAUUCCAGGUGUAGCGGUGGAAUGCGCAGAUAUCUGGAGGAACACCGGUGGCGAAGGCGGCCUCCCGGACCAUUCCUGACACUCAGACGCGAAAGCUAGGGUAGCAAACGGGAUUAGAGACCCCGGUAGUCCUAGCCCUAAACGAUGUAGACUAGGCGUCGGAAGCUUAAUCGCUUUCGGUGUCCAAGCUAACGCGAUAAGUCUACCGCCUGGGGACUACGGCCGCAAGGUUAAAACUCAAAGGAAUUGACGG
rnacentral:rRNA from 1 species